UCGCAUUCACCCUCGUAACAGUUAAACUCACUCUCUUAAGCGACCCAAAUUUAAAUUGCAACACAUAUAUUUCACUUGUAAAGGAGAUCUUCUAACAGACAACAUAAGGAUCACACAACUUCAGAACACUCCACAGGGGAUAACCCACCUGCUUCGCCUCAAACUAACAUUUCUGUAUACCUUCCACCGUCAUAAACAUUGCGCAAUCACUUAAUUUUCCUGAGUCUGAACUCAUACCGCAACAUGAAAUUUACUUCACUCCUAACUAGAAAACAUGAGAAGGUUCUUCACACACCCAUAACUCGGGGUUAUUCCUCAAAUCAAGAUGGAAAUCAAGCACCUAAUAGUCCUUCUAUCCUCCAGCAGACCCUUCUCGUCACUUCCAAAUCAUAUGAAUACAUCUUGCAGUCAUAACAUACUCAUCACAUCGCCAUCCAGCCAUCACUUCUACUAAUAGGGACACUACCAAACAUAUAAGUUCAAAAACAUGUGUUUACACAAUCAACGCCUCAGUGCUCAAGCUAUAGGCAAAACCCGGCCUCAAGUAGUUCAGACUGGCCCAACAUCAACACACAGAGAUCACAUCUCGCCCUUCGACCAGGGAAUCACAAGCCAUCGAUGCACAUCUGAUACUGAGCGCUCAUGCACGCAUACGAACGCGUGGAAAGAAUUCAAAGAGUCAUAUUUCAAGCUGAAUCAAGGACGCACGACAAGAAUUCAAGAAUGUGAAGUUUUUCCUAAAGGUUCUGCAGCCUCUCGAGGAAAAAUACAAACGUCUCUGUACCGAUCCGCGAGACUCUACUAAAUCUGCUCAUGACUCGUGAGACCUAUGUAACCUAGGCUCUGAUACCAACUUGUCACGAUCCCAAACCGGACCCGGUCGUGAUGGCGCCUCUCGUGAAGACGAGUCCAGUCAACACAAUUCCCAAAUUCAUCGUUAACAAUUUUUAAUAAGUCAAUGUAAGUCAUUCAUAAGAAAUAAAUCUCAAAAUUUAGCGAAAUAGAACAAGUGCGAAAAUAGAUAUAGCCCGACAUCGGGGUGUCACAAGUCACGAGCAUCUACUAAGGUCUAAAUACAAUGGAAAGUCUGAAAAUGUACUAAAUACAGUCUAAUGAAUUCAAGAGGGAGAAGAGCAGUGCUGCGAACGUCGGGCAGCUACCUUGCUAAACUCCGAUGACUCUGCCUCUGAUCAACCAAUACCCACUACCUGGUUCAGAAAUACCUGAAUUUUCACACAAGGUGCAGGGAGUAAUAUGAGUACUCCGACUCAGUGAGUAAUAAUAAUAAAUAAAGACUGAGCGAUAAGAAAUCACGUAAAGGCACGUCAACAGGAUAUAAAGAAGCAGUAAAAAUAAUGCAACAGUGGAAAUAUGUAAAGUCAGUUUAGUUCAGUUUAAGCUUCUUUAGAAAUGCCUUUUUAACAGUUAAACAAUUAAAUGCAAAGUAUCUAGAAAAGAUAAACACAUAAGAAUCUGCCCCUCAGGCACAAUGUCAACAUAAUCCAUUCCUCGGGCAAUAUCAUGGAACAAUCACCAGCCCCUCGGGCUAUAUCUCAUAUCACAAUGGGUAUUCGCGCUCACUGGAGGUGUGCAGACUCCUGGAGGGGCCCCUUACGGCCCAAGCGCAAUAUCAAGCCAUCUCGUGGUAUCAUCACUAGACCCUCGGCCUCAUAUCAACAAGCCACCUCGUGGCGUAAAAAUCUCAGGCCCUCGGCCUCAUAAUCAUAAUCAGUGUUUUCCUCACAACAUAGGCUAUCGGCCUUACUCAGUCAGAAUCUCACAAGCCACUCGGGCAAUAGUAAAACAUGGUGCUCAGCCCAAAAUAUCAUUUAAAAAUAUCAUUUAAGUGCUAAAGCAGAGUAAACAUGGCUGAGUUAUGAAAAUAGUAGAAUAUAACAUGAUUGAGUUCAAGUAUAAAGUCAAAACAGUGAGGAAAUAUCAGUAAAAAUCCCCUAAGGCUUCAAAUAGUUGUCACAAGGCCCAAAUAUGGCAUUCAGCCCAAAACAUGAUGAUAGCAAAUAGUUUUCAAUCAAAUACGUGGUAAAACAGCCAUUCGGGAUGGACUAAGUCAUAAUCCCCAACAGUGCACGACCUCAUGCUCGUCAUCUAGCAUGUGUGUCACCUCAAUAUAGCACAAUGAUUUGCAAUCUGGGGUUUCAUACCCUCAGGACAAUAUUUACAACCAUUACUCACCUCGAUCCAGUCCAACUCUAGCCCGUGAUGCCUUUGCCCUCACGAAUCGACCUCCGGAUGCUCUAAAUCUAGCCACAAUCAGUACAUAACCAUUAAAAUAUGCUAAGAGAACAAAGCCCACUCGAAAAUAUCCAAUUUACAAAAAAAAUCUCGAAAUUGCUCAAACCCGGCCCCCGGGCCGAAGUCUCGCAAUCCGAUAAAAGUCACAUUAAUAGAAUCCCCAUCCUCUCACGAGUCUAUACAUACCAAGAACAUCAAAAUCGAACCUCAAUUGUCCCCUCAAAUUCUCAAUUUACACUCUCCAACUUCAAGCCCUAAUUCCCCAAUGUUAGGCUUUAAUUUCCACAUAUUUCAUGAUUAAACAAGCAAGAAUCAACAUAGGAUCGAGUAUAGAGUUCAAAAAUCUUACCUCCAAGUGUUUCCCUACGAUUCCCUCUUCAAUCCUUCUCAAAAGCUCAAAAAAUAGUUCAACAAUGGAAAAAAUAGACCAAAAAUCGCGAAACCCACUUUUAAAUAUUCUGUCCCAGGCAAAAUACCUUCUUCGCGAACGCGACCGCCCUCUCGCGUUGACGUAGACCAAAUUCACUACCUCUCCACUUUUACCUUUGCGAACGCGAACGAUUCCAUGUGAUCGUGAUGCUUCGCCAUACCAGCCUUUCGCGAACGUGAUACAAGUCUCGCGAACGCAUAGCACAAGGGCUUGGGGUGCCCAACGACCUUACUCCUCUUCGCGAACGCGACCCCAGUCACACGUCUGCGAUGCCCAUGAAGCCUUCACCUUCGCGUUCGCGUCCUUUUCCUCGCGAACCCGUAGAACAAAAUAUCAUCACAUAAAAACACCCUUCGCGAACGCAAGUCCCCGACCGCGAACGCAAAGAACAAUUCAUCUGCAAUAAAAACCAGCAAAAAUUGUCAAGUCCAAAGUCCAAAAUUGAUCUGUUUAACCAUUCGAAACUCACCCGAGGCCCUCGGGACCUCAACCAAACAUUCCAACAAAUCCCAUACCUUCAUUCAAACUUGUACCAACCUUCGGAACGUUCAAAAAAACAUCAAAACACCAAAAUCACAUCGGAUUCAAGCCUAAGAAUCCCAAGAACUUCCAAAUUUCGCUUUCGAUCAAAAAGCCUACCAAACCUCGUCCGAAUGACCUGAAAUUUUUCAAACACGUCACAAAGGACACAACAGACCUACUCCAACUUCCAGAAUUUCAUUCUGACCCUUAUAUCAAAAUCUCACCUAUCAACCGGAAAAUGUCAAAAUCUCAAUUUUGCCAAUUCAAGCCUAAACCUUCCGCGGACCUCUAAAAUACAUUCCGACCAUGCUCCUAAGUCCCAAAUCAUCUAACGGAGCUAACCAAAUCAUAAAAAUUCCAUUCCGAGGUCAUCUACUAACAAGUCAAAUCUUGGUCAAACCUUUCAAAUUUCAAGCUUCAAACUGAGAACUGUUCUUCCAAAUUCAGUCUGAUUACCCUGAAAACCAAAACCGACGAUUUACAUAAGUCAUAAUAUAUCACACGGGGCUAGUCAUGCCCGAGAACUAGCUAGCAAAGUGUAAAAGCUCAAAACGACUGGUCGGGUCGUUACACCUUCUUCCAUCCAUCCUUCUAUCAUCUCUGCUGUAAAGGGAUACUGUGAUUGUUAAGAUUUGAACAUCAUCAUUCCCGACCUAGCGGAGCGGGUAACCUUCUACAAGAAGGGAUUUACGUACGUUUAUACAUACCCCUUCACUUUGGGCACGUUCUUAUUUAUUGGGGGGCUUGACUCUGUUAUCUUGGAGUUUUUCUUUCGUUACCAAGUUUGCUUGGCAUAGGUGGGCCCUUCUCAGUGGCGAACGGUCGCCUAUCUUCGGUGUCUAUGCCAAAGACAGGGGAAGAGCUAUCCUUGGCUCAACUGAUGAACCUUUAUGCCCCCAAGAUUUUCCGUGGGAGAAUAAUAAACUUCAACAAAAACGGUCACCAUGCUUUGCUCACUAGCAUGGACGAUGACAACAACCGUAGAGGGAUAAAGCGGUUUGUUGCAGUUGCCACCAGGGACAACAUCCCUGCCACAACUCCAUCAUUUUCAGAAUCAUGGAACCGUACUCGUAAGUUCAGUGUAUGUCUUCUCUUCUAGUUAAAGAUUGUCCUAUGCUAUUACUGAUCCAUCUUCUAUUAUUUCAGUAACUCGGUGGAUACCACCAAGGGUUGAAGGCUUGGACCAGUGGGUCCAGAAGAUAUUGGAUGUCAAUAUGCCUGAAACCCACCGUUGGAAAGAACUAGCCCUUAAAUAUGGGUGGAAGGCCAAAAAACAUGAUAGGUUGAACUUAUCUUGUUUUUACUUUACGUAUAGGAAAACUAGUUAACUUUUCUUUCCGGUUGAAUUCAGGUCUUCCGCAGGACUCUAUUACCGUCAUCGGGGAGGAUGUUUGGUUGAUCCUGCUGAUGCGGUAAGGUUGUUGUAGGAGACUUUCACCCGAACGAGUGUCAUCAUGCUUGCUUCCUCUUGGAGUCCCCGGUCGGAGAACAAGCAACAAAAAAGGCGACGUUCCACCAUAGCCGAGGGAAAAAAAUAAAAACCACAGACAUUGUGGUGAUUGGUGAUGAUGGAAGAGCAGUGAUGAAGGGGCUUCCCUAUAUAAAAGACGACGACUUUUGUUGAUCUGGUUACACUAACCGAGGACGACAUCCAAGCGCUCUAGGGGUAUGAGGUUAUUGUUCCUAGUGCCGUGAGGUUGGGUACUAGGUCUAUUCCGUCUUUGGCUGAUGAGCAUACCAACAAAUAUCACUUCUUUUUCUGCAACUACUUCUCAAACUAUAAUGCCAUCAACUCCAUCUCCCAUUUGGCCAAUUUUGCCUUCGCCACCAACAACUGCUAUAUCAUGUCCACCGGCCGCAGUCGUCCAAGAGGAGGAUUUCCCUCUUCCCCAGUACUAGUUCAUGGAAAUUUGGGACAUAACUAUUAUGCCCCCUCCAAAGAUUUUCAUAGAAGGAGGAGUAUUUCCUUCUCGGUUCUUACUGGAUGCCAUCUGUUGUCCCGAUCGGUGGAACUUUCUAAUUAUCUGAAGCCUCUAGCUUUAGAGAAAUAUAGGAAUAAAAUACAGUCUCUCUCGGGAGAGUGUAUGGUGAAUAAUGACAUGAACAUUGCAACAUCGGUACGAUAUUUGUUCCCUCUGUUGUUACUUCUAUAUUUGUUAUGGAAGGGUUUUUAAUUCGUACUCUGUUUCGCAUGCUAACUUCCUUGCUUUCGAGGGCCUUCAGAAGUUGAUCCUUGACAAAGAGAAACUCACCUAUGAGUGGGAUUAGUUGUUGGCCAAGCGGGAUCAAAUUGUUGCUCGCCUCCUGGAACUGGAAGCACAAGCCACUGAGGCCGUUGAGUUAGAGGAUCGGAUGCAGCAAAGCGAGCAAGAGGUAGUGACCUUUGGCCAAGAGGCUACCUUGUUAAGGGCAUAAUUUGAAGAAGCUAAGGCAAAGUGGGUUGAGGUCCAAAAUUCCGUUCUGGCUGCUACCGAUCUCGAGGAUGCGUCUACUGAAAGACUAAAUAAUUUGGAGGUAGCCUUGAACUCCAAAGCUAAAGAAGUUGUUGUUUCUGAGGAGGAGUAUGCCAGGAUGGAGGAGAAGCAUAGGAAGGUCAUGGAACACAAUAAUGUUUACAACUCCACUAUCCGUAAACUCAACGUCAGCCUUCAAGCCAUUAGGUAUGAGAGGAAUAACUUCUCGACCGAGGUUAACCAGCUUAAGGAAGAGCUUCAGCGUGGUGUAGCUUCCCUCAUUGUUUAAAAAACACUCUCUAUGUAUAACAUGUGGAGAAAAACCUUGGAAGAGGCCAAAACGGGUGUCACUGAUUAUUAUGCCGAGAUCGCCAAGGCCCGUGAGCUGGAGUUAACUGCCCGAAGGGGCCUUCCGGUCCAACAUGAUGCGACUGAUUCCUUUUGCUCCAGUUUCGAGUUCUCGGGAACUGAAGAAGAACUUAAAGAGGAUGAUGUUGAAGGUUAAGACCUCGAGCCGGCGAUAGAUCUACCUACUUCUCAUGGGGCACGGAUGGUUCUCUUCCCCCGGAUUUUGGGGAUGCAGUAGUUUAACUUUUUACUUAUUCUCCUUUUUUGUUUUUUACUUUAUACUUUUGUAAUUGUGAUGCUUGGCACGUUAUUAUAUAGAAGUACUUUUCAUUUAAGUAUUGCGCAAGGUUUUCUUAUUGUGUCAAAUUAUGCAAGGCUUUGGGUGCAUUUUUCCCCGAUAGCAUUUGGAUUCCGGACAUAAGUUCUUCUGGAAUCAACCCUUUGCCGUGAGUGUUUCAUAAGAGAUGUCCCUCUUAUAUUUACGGUGCUCUUGAAGAGGACAUCUCCUAUUCAUUACGGCACUAGCAUUUGAAGUGCUUAUUUAAUUUUCAAAUGAUAAAAUUAAUUUAUCGUUCGGACAAGAAACAAGAUAAAAAUAAAAGGACUUUACUUUAUUCAUUUCAUUUUUAAAAGUACACAAGAAUUCGUUGUGCUAAUAAGAAAUUGCCAUUACUUGUCGCUAAUUUAUACAACUUGUUUCUACAGGGGUGGACGUGAAGUCCCCGACCCCGAUGAUACAGCUUUAUUCUUGAAUUUCGUAAUCCUGGUCGAUGUGGUAGUCAUGUUGUUGUAUUAUUAUAUCAUCCUCCCCCAGUGUUCGAAUGCGAAGAAUGCAAACUUGAACACUGGAAGUCUUGCUCUUUUGAAGAUUCACUAGUGAAUGGUUGGAUAAUCUUUGGUUCGAUAGGAAACCUCGUUUCCCAUUAGGAACUUUACUACAGAUCCAAAAAUUACCUAACCACUCCCUAGUGACUUGCACUCAUGAACGGUCGGGUAACCUUUGGCUAGAUAACAAGCUUUGUUUCUCGUUAAGAACUUCUCUAUCGAGCAAAAGACUAUCUAACCGUUCUGUGUUGUCUCGUUGCUUGUAUGCGUUGUCAUUUAAAGGUCUUACUUCUACUGACGAAGCUUCCUUAGUAGCAUGCUUUCCAGUGCUGCCUCGUUAAAAACCUUGCCAGAAAAAUCCAAUUGGGACAAAAACUGGACGAAGAGAAAAAGAGUGCAGCACAUACUUUCAGUAUAGGCAAUGCUCAUUAGCAAUAGUACCUUUUGAGGUGUGCCACAUUUCAGUUGCUCGGAAACUUUACUCCAUCUUGAUUUUCCAAUUCGUAUGUAUCACACCUCCUUUUUCAACCCGAAAGGGGUAUAAGGGAGUUUUUCCAAUUUAAGUGACAUAAUCGAAAUGAGAUUAUUUUAUUUAUUCAGAGUCGCCACUUGGAAUAGUUUAUGGUGUCCCAAGUCACCGGUUUAUUUUAAAUCCCAAAUCAAGGAAAUUGACUCUUAUUUAUGGUCCACAAAUACAGAAGAUCGGGUAAGGAAUUCUAUUAACUCGGGAGAAGAUGUUAGGCAUUCCCAGGUUCCGUGGUUUUAGCACGGUCGCUCAACUAUUAAUAAUUGGCCUUAUUAUCUGAUUUAUCACAUAUUUUAAACCUAUUGUGCAUUUUUAACUUUAUAACCGCUUUUAUUUAUUUAUGGAUUUAUUUCUGGAACAAGCCACAAUUGUCGUACACUUGUCGUUUUGGUACACAUUACAAACCGUGUCUCAUGAAAUGCACCCGCGAUUUACAACAUGUUCAUUUUUAUUAUUAUUCAAAAUUAUAGUCGGGUCACAUGAAAUGCACACCCAAAUUUGAGAAUUACGUAUCACAACUACAUCACGGAAAUCGUACCCGUAGUUAUGAUGAUUUAUUAUAACGCGCCUAAAGCAAACUACGAAAGUUCAAGGUUAUUCUUAAAACUAAUUUGAGAUUUAAUGUGAGGCUGUGAAUUAGGGAUAUGAAAUAUAGAAAAAUGAGUCAACUUAACAGAGCAUCAAAUCCAUUCACAUCAUCAUUUUUUGUAAAUUGCUCAAAUCUAAUUCCCACAUCAUUAGCGAACAGUGUUAAACAAAUAGUAAUUCAAGCUAUGACUCAAUUGAAUAAAAUGACAGGGUAAAAUAAAUAAUUCAAAACUUAAACGGCAAGCACAUCCGAUGUAAAACCCAGAACGUCAUUCCAACAUUUACUUUAAUGUCAUUUUUAACCCAAACCACUAUUUUUGCUUUAAUCCAUUCCCGAAUCAACUCAUGAACCAUAAAUUAUUUUAGGCAUCUUGUAUCUUAAUUCCAAAUUCAUCACUCCAAUGUACUAAAAUCAAAUGAGAGCACUACAAAGGCAAACAAGGAAAAUUAAAUUAAAAGUUAUGACAAAACUCAAUGCAGAUUCCUUCAAACCACAAGCACUAAAUAGAACACAAAGAUAUCAUGUAUUAAUUAAAGAAAGGAGUGGGAAAAGGACCUCAAAGAGAGCUUUGUCAAUUUAGCAAUGUUGUAUGAAUAGAAACCCGGGCAGAAAAAAUCCUUGGACGCGACGACCUCGACGAACUCAAACUCGACCGUAACGAACCUCAAACCGGCAACCAAAAUCAGCGGACUUCUAAACCUCAAGCAAAUACCAUGAUUUUUAAUACCAAAACCGAAAUCAAAAUGAAGAAGUAGAAGCUCUUUUUAUAUAUAUUUUUUGUAAUUUUAAGCAAACUAAAAUCUGAGUCUGCAACUACAGAAUAUCUUUUGUUUUUGAUCCCCUGUUUUCCCUUCUUUUCUCGUACUCUCUAUCCCUGUUUUGCUACCAUUCGUUACUGCUCUCUCACGCCGUUGCUGCUAGUUUCCGGAAGCGGGUGGUUUUCAGUGGAGGUGUUAGGUUGCUGUGAGGUGAGGAAGAAAGAGAUGGGGUGUAUUGGAGAUAUGGUUGGUGGUUGGAGGGAGGUCGUGUGUGGCUGGUGAGGGGUCAUGUCGAUGGCUGUGUUGUGUCUGUAGAAGAAGAAGGGUCAUUGGUUAUGAGAUGAAGAGGCAGGAAUGGAUCGGAGGGGUCCUCAAGGUUAGAGAUCGCCACUGUUGAUGAAGCUUCCAGUCCCUUCUUUGGCUGCUUAGGUCUUAGUCCUUUUCUUAGGUUGUGAAAAUGUGGAUAUGAUGAAAGGGAACGACUGGUUCCUUUUAGGUGUCUCUAGGUUAGGAGUUUUAGGGUGGGCUUGGGGAUUAUGGGCUAGGUUCGAAUUGCGCCAAAUUUAUCUUUAAAAGUGGCCCUUUAACUCUACUAGACUAAAAAAAAUAUUAAUUCCCAAAAUAAUAACUAUAAAAUUGUGAAAUCAUUCCUAAUUAAAAUAAAUUACUAGAAUAAAACUAAAUACUAAAAGUGAAAUUAUUUUUGUAUAUUUUUUAAUUUUAUGAAAGGUAGAUAAACUAAACGUAACUAAAUAAAAUAUUAAUUAACUAUAUAAGAGAAAAUAUUUUUGUAGUUUUUAUUUUUGUGAUAAAAUAAAGUAAAAGGGUCAAAACUAGUUAAAAUAGCGAUAUUAGACCUAAACUAACUAUUUAAAUGCUAAAAAUGUGUAAAAUCUUGGGGAGGGUCAAAAAUCACAUGUCUACAGCUGCCCCUCUUUGACUGGAAACACGAAGAGUUCUCAGACAAAGAACGACGAGACAAGUUUUUUGACCUGACCUUUAUUUAAAAGAGAAGAGAACUAGAAGAAAGGAGAAUGUGACCGAGCCCUGGUAUCUGAGCUGCCUACAUAUCCUUGGCUAAAAAGGAAUCAGGCUACGUGUAGUUUAGAAGUAGGAACAGUGAUGGAGUAUACCGAGGUGGAGAGCAGAUUGAGGUGCUGUUCUGUCGAGGUUCCGGUCUGCGGUCCUAUUAUUACAUCAAAAUCAAAAUCUAAAAGAACUAAACAAUCCUAUCAUCUAUGAGUUACAAGAUUCCUAUCUAUAAGUCUUCUGAAGCUUGAUCUUGAGUCUUGAAUGGUUCUUCAUGGACUCUGAUCUGAAUCUUGAUGCUUGUUAGCUGCAGGUGUUAGUUCAUUCUUCCACGGCUUCUUCGGAUCAAGACCGGACAUGCAGUGCUCGUGAUUUCAGCCAUGUCUUGAGCAGUUCACAUCUUUCAUCGGCUUCUACAUUUGGAUUCACCUCCCUCUUUUUCUUUUCCUUUUUUUUAUUCUUUUCUUUUGGAUCGAACUUAUUCUUUUGGUUAUCUCGGGUUGUCGACUCGCAUUUUUUAGGCGAGCUUCCGCUGUUUCUAUUUUGAAUUGAAUUCUGAAAUGACUUCCCUCGUUCUCCAGGUGGGCGUCUGAUACUGACUUGAAAUUAGAAGUGACUCUGAAAUGAAUUCCCUUGUUCUCCAGGUGGGCGCCUGAUACUACAACAAAACAGAAAAAACAAAAGAAACUUUUCUGCCCCAAUUUGCACUAGGAAGAUUUGUGAGUUGUUAGCAGACCUAUGAAUCACCUAUGCUAUUGAUGAAGGAUGCAAUUGAAGACUCGACCAGGAUGUGCAUCUCCUGUGAGUAAAACCAAGAAAAUUUUGACUAACAAAUGCGUCUGCUAAAAAACCUGAAUGACCCGAACUAGGAAGUGCGUCUCCUAAAUCUAAGAUUGAGCUUGCGAAAAAUUAUAAACUAAACUUGACUAAAGUAAAAACUGACCCUAUUCUCUACGCGGGACCCCUGAUUUCAAGGAAACUAAAGAUUAAUAACUUAAGAAAACUAAAAAUUGACCCUUUUUUCAAAUCCAGACUUCCUUUUUUUUAUAUAAAAAAAUAUUAUCCUAGGAGAAAAUUCAUCAGACUAGGUUUUAAUCUUAGGAGAAAGAUUAAUCAGACUAAGAUUUUGAUCCUAGGAGAAAGUUCAUCAGACUAAGAUUUCUAUCUUAGGAGAAAGAUUCAUCAGACUAAGAUUUUGAUCCUAGGAGAAAGUUCAUCAGACUAGUCUAUUUUCUUCUUGUUUUUUUUUGGUAUCUUAGAAGAAAGAUUCAUCAGACCAAGUUCUAUCCUAGGAGAAAGUUCAUCUGACUAGGUCUUCUAUCUUAGGAGAAAGAUUCAUCAGACUAAGAUUUUGAUCCUAGAAGAAAGUUCAUCAGACUGGGUCUCUUUUCUUUUUCUUUUUUUGUUAUCUUAGGAGAAAGAUUCAUCAGACUAAGAUUUUUAUCCUAGGAGAAAGUUCAUCAGACUAGGUUUUCUAUCUUAGGAGAAAGAUUCAUCAAACUAAGAUUUCGAUCCUAGGAGAAAAUUCAUCAGACUAGGUUUCCUAUCUUAGGAGAAAAGUUCAUCAGACUAAGACGUUUAUCCUAGGAGAAAGAUUUAUCAGACUAGGUUUCUUUCUUAGGAGAAAAGUUCAUCAGACUAAGACGUUUAUCCUAAGAGAAAGAUUCAUCAGACUAGGUUUUUUUUCUUAGGAGAAAGAUUUAUCAGACAAAGAUUUCUAUCCUAGGAGAAAAUUCAUCAGACUAGGUUUCCUAUUUUAGGAGAAAAAUUUAUCAGACUAAGAUUUUUAUUGGGAGAAAAUCCAUCAGACUAGGGCUUUUAUCCUAGGAGGAAAAAUAGUGAAGAGCAAUGGCAACAUUUUAUGCACAUUAGCAAGACAAAUAAAGACAAAGAUUUGAGCAACUUCCCUUUGUCGGCUCUUCUUUUCUCUUCUUUUUCUCUUCU
rnacentral:lncRNA from 1 species